GACGAACGCUGGCGGCGUGCUUAACACAUGCAAGUCGAACGGAAAGGCCCUGCUUUUGUGGGGUGCUCGAGUGGCGAACGGGUGAGUAACACGUGAGUAACCUGCCCUUGACUUUGGGAUAACUUCAGGAAACUGGGGCUAAUACCGGAUAGGAGCUCCUGCUGCAUGGUGGGGGUUGGAAAGUUACGGCGGUUGGGGAUGGACUCGCGGUUUAUCAGCUUGUUGGUGGGGUAGUGGCUUACCAAGGCUUUGACGGGUAGCCGGCCUGAGAGGGUGACCGGCCACAUUGGGACUGAGAUACGGCCCAGACUCCUACGGGAGGCAGCAGUGGGGAAUAUUGCACAAUGGGCGGAAGCCUGAUGCAGCAACGCCGCGUGCGGGAUGACGGCCUUCGGGUUGUAAACCGCUUUCGCCUGUGACGAAGCGUGAGUGACGGUAAUGGGUAAAGAAGCACCGGCUAACUACGUG
rnacentral:rRNA from 1 species